AGCGGCGGACGGGUGAGUAACGCGUGGGUAACCUGCCUCAUACAGGGGGAUAACAGUUAGAAAUGACUGCUAAUACCGCAUAAGACCACAGCACCGCAUGGUGCGGGGGUAAAAACUCCGGUGGUAUGAGAUGGACCCGCGUCUGAUUAGGUAGUUGGUGGGGUAACGGCCUACCAAGCCGACGAUCAGUAGCCGACCUGAGAGGGUGACCGGCCACAUUGGGACUGAGACACGGCCCAG
rnacentral:rRNA from 1 species